UACGGAGGAUGCAAGCGUUAUCCGGAUUUAUUGGGUUUAAAGGGUGCGUAGGCGGAUCGUUAAGUCAGUGGUCAAAUUGAGGGGCUCAACCCCUUCCCGCCAUUGAAACUGGCGAUCUUGAGUGGAAGAGAAGUAUGCGGAAUGCGUGGUGUAGCGGUGAAAUGCAUAGAUAUCACGCAGAACCCCGAUUGCGAAGGCAGCAUGCCGGCUUCCGACUGACGCUGAAGCACGAAAGCGUGGGGAUCGAACAGG
rnacentral:rRNA from 1 species